rnacentral:rRNA from 1 species
CCUGCCAGUAGUCAUAUGCUUGUCUCAAAGAUUAAGCCAUGCACGUCCAAGUACAAGCCUCAUUAAGGUGAAACCGCGAAUGGCUCAUUAAAUCACACCUAAUACACUGGACAAUGUCUUUUACAUGGAUAACUGCGCUAAUUGUGGAGCUAAUACAUGCCUUUGAUCCCCGAACUCGCGUGAGGGGUGCUUUUAUUAGAUCAAAACCAAACGUCCUCGGACGUCUUUUGGUGAUUCUGAAUAACUUUGUGCUGAUCGCACGGCUUCACGCCGGCGACGUGUCCAUCUAAGGUGUGCCCUAUCAACUUUCGACUGUGGCAUAGACGCCCACAGUGGUUUUGACGGGUAACGGGGAAUCAGGGUUCGAUUCCGGAGAGGGAGCCUGAGAAACGGCUACCACUUCUAAGGAAGGCAGCAGGCACGCAAAUUACCCAAUGGUCGAAGACCGAGGUAGUGACGAAAAAUAACGAUACCAGACUCAUCCGAGGCCUGGUAAUCGGAAUGAGUACACUUUAAACCCUUUAACGAGGAACAAUUGGAGGGCAAGUCUGGUGCCAGCAGCCGCGGUA